rnacentral:rRNA from 1 species
AUGAACGCUGGCGGCGUGCCUAACACAUGCAAGUCGAACGGAGUCCAGCCUUUAAGACCUUCGGGUCAAAGAGGGGAAGACUGAGUGGCGGACGGGUGAGUAACACGUGGGCAACCUGGCUCAUAGAGGGGGAUAACAGAAAGAAAUUUCUGCUAAUACCGCAUAAGCACACACUGCCGCAUGGCAGAGGGUGAAAAGAGAAUCGCUAUGAGAUGGACCCGCGUCUGAUUAGCCAGUUGGCAGGGUAAGAGCCUACCAAAGCGACGAUCAGUAGCCGAUCUGAGAGGAUGAACGGCCACAGUGGGACUGAGACACGGCCCAAACUCCUACGGGAGGCAGCAGUGGGGGAUAUUGCACAAUGGGGGGAACCCUGAUGCAGCGACGCCGCGUGAGUGAAGAAGUAUUUCGGUAUGUAAAGCUCUAUAAGCAGGGAAGAUAAUGACAGUACCUGAAUAAGAAGCCCCGGCUAACUACGUG